rnacentral:rRNA from 1 species
GACGAACGCUGGCGGCGUGCCUAAUACAUGCAAGUAGAACGCUGAAGGAGGAGCUUGCUUCUCUGGAUGAGUCGCGAACGGGUGAGUAACGCGUAGGUAACCUGCCUGGUAGCGGGGGAUAACUAUUGGAAACGAUAGCUAAUACCGCAUAAGAGUAGAUGUUGCAUGACAUUUGCUUAAAAGGUGCAAUUGCAUCACUACCAGAUGGACCUGCGUUGUAUUAGCUAGUUGGUGAGGUAACGGCUCACCAAGGCGACGAUACAUAGCCGACCUGAGAGGGUGAUCGGCCACACUGGGACUGAGACACGGCCCAGACUCCUACGGGAGGCAGCAGUAGGGAAUCUUCGGCAAUGGACGGAAGUCUGACCGAGCAACGCCGCGUGAGUGAAGAAGGUUUUCGGAUCGUAAAGCUCUGUUGUAAGAGAAGAACGAGUGUGAGAGUGGAAAGUUCACACUGUGACGGUAUCUUACCAGAAAGGGACGGCUAACUACGUG